CCUACGGGAGGCAGCAGUGGGGAAUAUUGCACAAUGGGCGCAAGCCUGAUGCAGCAACGCCGCGUGAGGGACGACGGCCUUCGGGUUGUAAACCUCUUUUAGUAGGGAAGAAGCGAAAGUGACGGUACCUGCAGAAAAAGCACCGGCUAACUACGUGCCAGCAGCCGCGGUAAUACGUAGGGUGCAAGCGUUAUCCGGAAUUAUUGGGCGUAAAGAGCUCGUAGGCGGUUUGUCGCGUCUGCUGUGAAAACUGGAGGCUCAACCUCCAGCCUGCAGUGGGUACGGGCAAACUAGAGUGCGGUAGGGGAGAUUGGAAUUCCUGGUGUAGCGGUGGAAUGCGCAGAUAUCAGGAGGAAUACCGAUGGCGAAGGCAGAUCUCUGGGCCGUAACUGACGCUGAGGAGCGAAAGCAUGGGGAGCGAACAGGAUUAGAUACCCUGGUAGUCCAUGCCGUAAACGUUGGGCGCUAGAUGUGGGGACCAUCCACGGUUUCCGUGUCGCAGCUAACGCAUUAAGCGCCCGCCUGGGGAGUACGGCCGCAAGGCAAAACGUUAAAGAAUUGACGG
rnacentral:rRNA from 1 species